rnacentral:rRNA from 1 species
ACCUACUGGGGGCAGCAGUGGGGGAUAUUGCACAAUGGGGGAAACCCUGAUGCAGCGACGCCGCGUGUGGGAAGACGGUCUUCUGGAUUGUAAACCACUGUCCCCAGGGACGAAAAUGACGGUACCUGGGGAGGAAGCUCCGGCUAACUACGUGCCAGCAGCCGCGGUAAUACGUAGGGAGCAAGCGUUGUCCGGAAUUACUGGGUGUAAAGGGAGCGUAGGCGGGGAUGCAAGUUGGGUGUCAAAACUAUCGGCUCAACCGAUAGUCGCACUACAAACUGCAGCUCUUGAGUGAAGUAGAAGAA